GAUGAACGCUGGCGGCGUGCCUAAUACAUGCAAGUCGAACGAACAGAUGAUGCUCUUGCUCCUCUGUCGUUAGCCGCGGACGGGUGUGUAACACGUGUAUACCCUACCUAUCUGACUGGUAUAUCUUCAGGAAACCGGCUCUAAUCCCAUAUGAUCUAUUGCACCGCGUUGUUCAAUGGUAAAAGACGGUUUUUCUGUCACUUCUAGCUGGAUCCGCGCCGCAUUAGCUAGUUGUUAAGGUAACGGCUUUCCAAGGCAACGAUGCGUAGACGAACUGAGAGGGUGAUAGGCCACACGAGAAGGGAGACACGGUCAAGACGACUAAGGGAGGCAGCAGAAGGGAAUGGGACGCAAUGGGCGAAAGCAUGACGGAGAAACGCGGAGUGAGAGAUGAAGGUCUUCGGAUCGUAAAAAUCGGCUACGAGGGAAGAACAAAUGUGGAAGUAAAUAUGCACGGAGUGACGGUAACGAAUAAGAAAGCAACGGCUAACUACGUG
rnacentral:rRNA from 1 species